rnacentral:rRNA from 1 species
AGCCGCGGUAAUACGUAGGGUGCAAGCGUUAUCCGGAAUUAUUGGGCGUAAAGAGCUCGUAGGCGGUUUGUCGCGUCUGCUGUGAAAACCCGAGGCUCAACCUCGGGCCUGCAGUGGGUACGGGCAGACUAGAGUGCGGUAGGGGAGAUUGGAAUUCCUGGUGUAGCGGUGGAAUGCGCAGAUAUCAGGAGGAACACCGAUGGCGAAGGCAGAUCUCUGGGCCGUAACUGACGCUGAGGAGCGAAAGGGUGGGGAGCAAACAGGCUUAGAUACCCUGGUAGUCCACCCCGUAAACGUUGGGAACUAGUUGUGGGGACCAUUCCACGGUUUCCGUGACGCAGCUAACGCAUUAAGUUCCCCGCCUGGGGAGUACGGCCGCAAGGCUAAAACUCAAAGGAAUUGACGGGGACCCGCACAAGCGGCGGAGCAUGCGGAUUAAUUCGAUGCAACGCGAAGAACCUUACCAAGGCUUGACAUAUACGAGAACGGGCCAGAAAUGGUCAACUCUUUGGACACUCGUAAACAGGUGGUGCAUGGUUGUCGUCAGCUCGUGUCGUGAGAUGUUGGGUUAAGUCCCGCAACGAGCGCAACCCUCGUUCUAUGUUGCCAGCACGUAAUGGUGGGAACUCAUGGGAUACUGCCGGGGUCAACUCGGAGGAAGGUGGGGAUGACGUCAAAUCAUCAUGCCCCUUAUGUCUUGGGCUUCACGCAUGCUACAAUGGCCGGUACAAUGGGCUGCAAUACCGUAAGGUGGAGCGAAUCCCAAAAAGCCGGUCCCAGUUCGGAUUGAGGUCUGCAACUCGACCUCAUGAAGUCGGAGUCGCUAGUAAUCGCAGAUCAGCAACGCUGCGGUGAAUACGUUCCCGGGUCUUGUACACACCGCCCGUCAAGUCAUGAAAGUCGGUAACACCUGAAGCCGGUGGCCCAACCCUUGUGGAGGGAGCCGUCGAAGGUGGGAUCGGUAAUUAGGACUAAGUCGUAACAAGGUAGCCGUACCGGAAGGUGCGGCUG